rnacentral:rRNA from 1 species
UACGUAGGGUCCAAGCGUUGUCCGGAUUUAUUGGGCGUAAAGAGCUCGUAGGUGGUUCGGUAAGUCGGAUGUGAAGACUCGGGGCUCAACCCCGAGACGCCAUCCGAUACUGCUGUGACUUGAGUCUGGUAGGGGAGAUCGGAAUUCCUGGUGUAGCGGUGAAAUGCGCAGAUAUCAGGAGGAGCACCGGUGGCGAAGGCGGAUCUCUGGGCCAGUACUGACACUGAGGAGCGAAAGCGUGGGUAGCAAACAGG